rnacentral:misc_RNA from 1 species
CUAUCAUUUACUAUGAUUCCGCAGGCGGUUGUGUGUUUCUACCGUUGCGGAUUGACCUCUUUCCAAGAAGUAACACAGUUUUUUUAACGCAGUUUUUAGUAGAGCAAGGGAAAAGUCCAUACAUCACAGAUGGUGUUGGUCUUUGUGCGAUGGCUAGUUAAACAUUUGGUUUAAUGAAUGGUGUUGGGGAGUGGAGUAAAGUUGAUCACUUACAUGUGUGAAUUUUGCUAUGCAAAACGUUAACAGCAGCCUGAUUACAUAGCUAAACUAGGUAGGCUAAGGAGGUAAAAUAUGACCUCGUUAAAUUUUUAGUAGAGCAAGGGAAAAGUCCAUACAUCACAGAUGAUAAUGGUCUUUGUGCGAUGGCUAGUUAAACCAACCCGUGUCCGACUGCACACGUGCAAUAUACCGCACAAGUCAUGCGCCACUUUUCCUCUCGCUCUUCCCUAUACCGCUAGUGUCGUAUGGUGGGAAACGGCGACAACUCGUUUUCUGUCAACACCAUUCUGGUAGGCAAAAUGUCAGGCAAACCAAACUUAAAAAAGAAAAACACUUUCGAUAGAAGAAAAAAUAGCCAUUUCGCUAAAAAAAAACUUGCUCGUGAUAAAGGAAAAGCAGAUGCUAGACGGAUAAAGCGAAAUCCAUUAAACCUUCAAUUUUUUUCCAGAUAUGGGGAUUUUAAAGAAGAAAAGAAUAAAAAACUUGCAAUAAAAGCUGUCAAUAAAGUUUCUAAAAUGAAAGGAUUAUUCAAUAAAAACCCUGUUGAGGAAAGUGAAACAGACCUUCCGCCUCACCAUGGAAAUGAAAUCGAACAACAACAUUCUUCUACACCUGCAAAUGAUAUUAUGUCCAAGGACAGCUGUGCCAGCAAAGUAUUGUUGUCCUGUUUGGCAAGCGAACCAAAGCUUGAGCCUCAAAGUGAAACUGAUGCUAGUUUGCUAACAAAACGAUUACUUACGGCCCUGUACCGGGAGCGAUUUUAUUCAAAACGUCUCGAUCUUUUUUUGAAAGCUAGGAGUAUGACGGAAGCGGAAGAUCUUCCGAAGUUACAAAAAUUGCUCGAAGAUGAAACCCCCCGAUAUUUAAGCCAUAAUGGAAAAGCGACAUGUCAUCUAUCCGAUCUCCAAUAAGAGCUUGAAGCUAUUCAUUUUGAAAUUUAUACUGUUCACGACGAAAUUAGCAGUGUCGCAAGUAUAAAAAUUUUAAAUUUAGUGGUAAAAAGCUCUUUGAUUGAUUUUUAAGCAGCUGCGUCAAAGUAAAGAACCAAACUGAGGAGACGCCAGACUAUUGAAAGCCAAAGCAAUAAUUAUCAUUAAUGAGAUUAAUGCAAUUUCAAAAUCUUUCAAAGUAACGGCAGAACAUUUUUCCGAAGGGAUUUUCCCGUGGGAUUCUGCACAUGACGAUUGCCAGAUUCUGAAAAAAAGAAACAAAGAACAAAUCCAUCAAUCAAAAACGGAAAUGAGGCAGUUCCUCCAGUCUCUUCAAAACAGCACGUUACUUGCUAAACAGAACGUGAACCACCAUUUGAAGGAAGAAGCAGAACUUAAUAUUUCGAAAUCCGGAAGACUAAUAUUUGUGGAAGUUAACAUGUUAUCUGGAUAUGACGAAGAAUUGUCAUACCUCCGACUGCGAAACCCCCAUUUUCUCUUAAUCUUUGCUUGAUGUUGAUGAAAGUGAUGACUACGACUCCGACACUGAUAGUGAAAAUGACGAUGCUGUGUAGGAUGUUGUGUAAUUUAUUUUUAAGCAGCUUGUGCCUUGUCUAAAUUACAUAAUAUGACUGUACAACUUGGAAUAUAUCAUACUGUACCUGCAUACAACUGUAUCAUCAAUUAUGAAUAUUAUACCGUGGACCGUGUUGAUAAAAUAAACAUGGAUUUUUAUUAUUUGUUUAUAUAAAGAAUGAGUUCUAUAGUAAACGAAGUCGAAACACUUACACUUACAUGAAAUUCGA